rnacentral:rRNA from 1 species
UAGAGUUUGAUCAUGGCUCAGGAUGAACGCUAGCGACAGGCUUAACACAUGCAAGUCGAGGGGCAGCGGUGGUGAAGGCUUGCCUUUACCAGCCGGCGACCGGCGCACGGGUGAGUAACACGUAUGCAACCUGCCUGCCACAGCCGGAUAAUCGGGAGAAAUUCCGCCUAAUACGGCAUAAUGCACCUAUGGGACAUCCUGUUGGUGCCAAAGGUUAAUUCCGGUGGCGGAUGGGCAUGCGUCGCAUUAGUUAGUUGGCGGUGUAACGGACCACCAAGACGACGAUGCGUAGGGGUUCUGAGAGGAAGGUCCCCCACACUGGUACUGAGACACGGACCAGACUCCUACGGGAGGCAGCAGUGAGGAAUAUUGGUCAAUGGGCGGGAGCCUGAACCAGCCAAGUCGCGUGAGGGAAGACGGUCCUAUGGAUUGUAAACCUCUUUUGUCGGGGAGCAAAAGACGCCACGUGUGGCGUUCCGAGAGUACCCGAAGAAAAAGCAUCGGCUAACUCCGUGCCAGCAGCCGCGGUAAUACGGAGGAUGCGAGCGUUAUCCGGAUUUAUUGGGUUUAAAGGGUGCGCAGGCGGAAGAUCAAGUCAGCGGUAAAAUUGAGAGGCUCAACCUCUUCGAGCCGUUGAAACUGGUUUUCUUGAGUGAGCGAGAAGUAUGCGGAAUGCGUGGUGUAGCGGUGAAAUGCAUAGAUAUCACGCAGAACUCCGAUUGCGAAGGCAGCAUACCGGCGCUCAACUGACGCUCAUGCACGAAAGUGUGGGUAUCGAACAGGAUUAGAUACCCUGGUAGUCCACACAGUAAACGAUGAAUACUAAUUGUUCGGGGAGAAUGAUCCCUGAGUGAUACAGCGAAAGCGUUAAGUAUUCCACCUGGGGAGUACGCCGGCAACGGUGAAACUCAAAGGA